rnacentral:rRNA from 1 species
UACGAAGGAUCCUAGCGUUGUCCGGAUUUACUGGGUUUAAAGGGAGCGUAGGCGGACUUUAAGUCAGUGGUGAAAGCCUGCAGCUUAACUGUAGAAUUGCCAUUGAAACUGAUUGUCUCGAGUGCGGUUGAGGUCACUGGAAUGUAUCAUGUAGCGGUGAAAUGCUUAGAUAUGAUACAGAACACCAAUUGCGAAGGCAGGUGACUAAGCCGUAACUGACGCUGAGGCUCGAAAGCGUGGGGAUCAAACAGG